AUGAAUGAAAACAAGCUCGCCCGCUCUGCCUCUCGCGGGCGGGCGGGCGGAGGGGAGGAGGCUGAGGUUACCAUGACCUCAGGAGGGCGGACUUCCCCGUUAAAGCGGCAGUGCCUCGCCGCUGGCCGGGCCGCCGCUCUCCAACGGGGAGAGCGCUGCAGCCGCUGGGGCGCCCACUCGUCCUGGGGCGCCCCGCACACACACACGUGCACACGCGCGCGCACACACACUCUCACACGCGCGCGCGCGCGCGCACAAGGCCCCUCCCAGCCCCCGGCCGCGGGAGACUCCUCCACUAAGAGCCCGCUUUUGGCACCAGCCGACAAGCUCCUCGGGGCCCUCCCGGAAACACCCCCAAACCUCCCUGGUCUACCUUUCGCGUGGAGGGGUCCUCCGGGAGGACAACCUGCGCCCCGGAUCCCCCGCUCCGGGCAGCUGGGGACCCUGCCUCGCCGCGGCCCCAGCCCCGAGCGCCCCGGGCCGAGGGGGUCGCCCCUUCCCUCCCCUCCCCGCACCUGCCGCCCCCCCGGCGGGCCCGGGCGGCCCCGACACUCACCUAGGCCGAAGCGGGGGCGCGGGGCCGAGCCGUGCCACCCGGCCCAGGUGCCGGUGCGGGCGGCGGCGUGCACGAGCCGCAUCAACCGCGGCGGGGAGGACGAGGAGGCAUCGCCGAGCUGCGGCGAGUCGGCCCGCGGGCAGGGGCGCUCGGCACGGCCCCCUUCCGGCGGCGGCGGCCGCUGCUCCGCAGCCCGCUCACGGCUCGUGGGGGCCGCGCGGCUCGGGCUGCUCCACCGCCGGGCCUUCCUCCCGCAGCCCGUCCGAGGACCAGGACACAGAAGCCCCCUCGGGAGGGCCCUCCGAGCCUCUCGGGAAAGCGAGCGGGGCGCGGCGGCGAGAGGAGUGCUGACGGCCGCCGGCGGGCGCGCUGGGCUCGGACGGGAGGCGUCCCGGGGACCGCUCGCUGGUCGCGGGCAAGGACGGAGGGCGGCCGCCUGCCCCGCGAAAAAUCCACGGCGCGGCCGUUCGAGACUCGCGGCGCCCGGGCCGGGAGCUCACGCCUGCGAGGCCGAGGCCGCCGCUCCCCCGGGGUUGGGGGUGGGAUUUUUGACCCGCUGUUUUAGGGGUGGUGGUGAAAGGAGCGAGGUUUGGGGGUGCGUCUCAGAGGCAGAGGCGGGGCGUCGUCGCUGGGCCCCCGCGCAGGUCGAGGCACCUUCCCGAUCCCGCACGCUGGGCCGGUUGGGGGCGCGGCGUCCCCGGGAACUCUGGUCCUGGCGGUCAGCCCCUCCUGGGCAGCGCGCGCUCCCAGGGCUCCGACCCUCCGGGUCCACGGCCGAAGUGGCUGCUACAGACGGUUAG
rnacentral:lncRNA from 1 species